ensembl:lncRNA
GCAAAAUCAGCAGUGUAUCAAAUACUUGCUCUCCCUACUGUAUAAGGAGCCAAAUAACUUCAUUGACUGAUUUAUUAAUAGCAAGCUCAGUGGAGGACGAGGCCAGGCUCCAGAAGACGAGGCCAGGCUCCAGAGGGCGAUUCCAUCCGGGCAGGACAGGGGACCAAUCAGUGAGAACCGGGACCCAAUAUUCAGUUUGCACCAAUUAAAAAAAACUUUAUUUUAAUCAUCAAAGAACACGGUUUUACAUUGCACAAUCAAAAUAUAGAAAUAAGGCAGACUCCUUAAGGAAUGAUCACAAGAGAACCCCCAAACAGUGACCUCUCUCGCUAACCUUUGACCCCCCGAAAAUCUCUCAACCAGACCCAGCCACAGACAAACGCCCCUUGCUACUCAAAUGUCACCCCAUUGUCCACCUGGCGCACUAGCUCUGACUAUAAACCUUUGGGACCAGACAACCACCUCCCCUGAGCACCCAAAAGAUUUAUUAGUGACCAACAGUUAUGGGGGGGGGGGGGCAUCAUUUUAGAACAGACUUACAGUCCGUUCAUGAAAUCUCAUCAUUAAACAACUAAUUUGUGUAUUACCUUCCCGAUUUUCAAGCAAGACUUCCCGAGCCCCACGGCUUGUCGCCUUGUCCUCUUAUAAGAACACAUUGAGAAGUUAAAAUAUUAUUACCAUGUAAAACUAUUUAAUUGAAAGCUUAAAGGGGAAUUAUGGCAAAUACCUUAAAUGUGUCAAGGUCCGUAAAUCAUUCUAACUUAACAGUUAGACAGUCACUGAGCACAGUGAGGUAAGGGCUACAGCAUAAGUCCUACCCCGUUCCUAAGUGAAGUGCCAGGUACACAUAUCUUUGUGGAAUUAUGAAAAAUUCACUUUCUAUAACAAAAACUAAAGGGCUGGUUCUGCACAUAGAGAUCAGGCCUAUUUCGGGACUAGAGAAAAACAAGGUCAGUGGAAAUCUCCAUUGAGCUUGAUUUAUUAAAUUUUUUGCCCUAGACCAUGCUUAAUCUGUGACUGUGAAAUCGGCCCUAAAUGUUUGAAGCCCAAUCAAUCGUGACAAAUGACAUACAUUUUGUGAUAUAUUUGCUGCAGGAUCACAAUCAUACCAUUUCUGACACCUAGACACCUUUCAGACAUUGUCCGAAUAUUCCCCUUUCAACUUCAGUCAAUAACAUUUUUUAAUUACAUUUAAGACUCUAAACCUUGUUUGCCCUGAGCCGUGUAGCCUGGCUAGCUGGUAGCACAUCAACCAGCCAAAUACAACCAAAAGCCACAUGACCUAUGUGUUAGUACAGUACUGAAAAAGUUACUGUCGCCUCCCCAUACGAGACUAUUAACGGUGUGGAAAAACAUAUGUACAGUUUCAAUAUAUACAUUACAUACAUCCUGCAUGUACAGACACACAUCUGCUGGUAGGCAUGGUUACAGUGACACCUACAAAACCCAGCCAAUCAGAAACGAGGGUUGAGUCGAGGCAGCCAGCCUUCACAACAACCAAAAGGGCUUCUCUCCUGAGUAGUGUUGUGUCAGACGGCUAACUUGAACCCAAAGCCAACAAUUUGGACUACAAUCAAAUUUUUAAAGCAUGGAGAAAGAAAGCGUUCCAAAUGGCAUUCCAUUCCCUUUAAAAGCAGAACUAUCAAUAUUGCUCUGGUCAGAAGUGUAAUUGGUAGGGAACAGGGAGACAACCCGGGAAAUUAUGAACCAACAGGUCCCCUAAGUGCUGUAGUAACCUGACGACAGGUAAAUGCGUCAGAGAUAACCAGGUCAAUCUUAAUGCAGGCAAGUUAUUUAAAACUUAUUUUCUGAUGAGACUGUGGAUGCGUCCUCAGUUGGCACCAUAUUCCCGAUAUAGAGAACUGCUUUCAGCCCUAGUGAACUGAUGUGCCCUUUAGCGGGCAGGGCACCAUUUGGGUCUAAUCCAAUGGCUUUCUCACUGAACUGGGCUGACAACAGUUAUCACAACUGCUCAGGACACGUAGCAUUUUAGGCCAAAUCCAGAGAUGUGAAACAGCCACGUCCAUUUGAGAUCUCGCCAUGGACAAAGACAAUACCUGAACCUGCACUGUUUUGUCGUCAUCACCGGCGCAAGCCUUUUGAACAAUACACACUACGAUUCUUAUAUGGACAAAACACGACUGAACGCAAUCAAAGAGAAAGAAAAUAAAACCACCUAUUAUAAACUCUGAUGCUUGGUUUUGGACCAAUUACAAAUGGCAUUUCCUUGAUACAGACAAGACUAUCAGACAGAUCAGCACGGACCAAAGAUGCCCGACCCUGUAUGGCCACAUACAGUCCAUAUUGAUGGUCCCUCAUAUAGGAAAGAUGUUAGCUACAGACAUUUGAAACCAUUUAAACCUAAACUGUACAAGCCCCCCCCCC